CCUACGGGAGGCAGCAGUAGGGAAUCUUCCACAAUGGGCGAAAGCCUGAUGGAGCAACGCCGCGUGGGUGAAGAAGGUCUUCGGAUCGUAAAACUCUGUUGUUAGAGAAGAAAGUGCGUGAGAGUAACUGUUCACGUUUCGACGGUAUCUAACCAGAAAGCCACGGCUAACUACGUGCCAGCAGCCGCGGUAAUACGUAGGUGGCAAGCGUUAUCCGGAUUUAUUGGGCGUAAGGGGAACGCAGGCGGUCUUUUAAGCCUGAUGUGAAAGCCUUCGGCUUAACCGGAGUAGUGCAUUGGAAACUGGGAGACUUGAGUGCAGAAGAGGAGGGUGGAACUCCAUGUGUAGCGGUGAAAUGCGUAGAUAUAAGGAAGAACACCAGUGGCGAAGGCGGCUCUCUGGUCUGUAACUGACGCUGAGGUUCGAAAGCGUGGGUAGCAAACAGGAUUAGAUACCCGAGUAGUC
rnacentral:rRNA from 1 species